CUUUUAAAGGAUAAUAG
rnacentral:tRNA from 1 species